AGCGCGCGCAGGUGGUUUCUUAAGUCUGAUGUGAAAGCCCACGCCUUAACCGUGGAGGGUCAUUGGAAACUGGGAGACUUGAGUCCCUAAAAGGAAAGUGGAAUUCCAUGUGUAGCGGUGAAAUGCGUAGAGAUAUGGAGGAACACCAGUGGCGAAGGCGACCUUCUGGUCUGUAACUGACACUGAGGCGCGAAAGCGUGGGGAGCAAACAGGAUUAGAUACCCUGGUAGUCCACGCCGUAAACGAUGAGUGCUAAGUGUUAGAGGGUUUCCGCCCUUUAGUGCUGAAGUUAACGCAUUAAGCACUCCGCCUGGGGAGUACGGCCGCAAGGCUGAAACUCAAAGGAAUUGACGGGGGCCCGCACAAGCGGUGGAGCAUGUGGUUUAAUUCGAAUCAACGCGAAGAACCUUACCAGGUCUUGACAUCCUGUGAGAACCCUAGAGAUAGGGCUUCUCCUUCGGGAGCAGAGUGACAGGUGGUGCAUGGUUGUCGUCAGCUCGUGUCGUGAGAUGUUGGGUUAAGUCCCGCAACGAGCGCAACCCUUGAUCUUAGUUGCCAUCAUUUAGUUGGGCACUCUAACGUGACUGCCGGUG
rnacentral:rRNA from 1 species